CCUACGGGUGGCAGCAGUGAGGAAUAUUGGUCAAUGGACGAGAGUCUGAACCAGCCAAGUAGCGUGAAGGAUGACUGCCCUAUGGGUUGUAAACUUCUUUUAUAAAGGAAUAAAACGAGGCACGUGUGCCUUUUUGCAUGUACUUUAUGAAUAAGGAUCGGCUAACUCCGUGCCAGCAGCCGCGGUAAUACGGAGGAUCCGAGCGUUAUCCGGAUUUAUUGGGUUUAAAGGGAGCGUAGAUGGGUUGUUAAGUCAGUUGUGAAAGUUUGCGGCUCAACCGUAAAAUUGCAAUUGAUACUGGCAGUCUUGAGUACCGGAGAGGUCAUCGGAAUUCCUUGUGUAGCGGUGAAAUGCGUAGAUAUAAGGAAGAACACCAGUGGCGAAGGCGGAUGACUGGACGGCAACUGACGGUGAGGCGCGAAAGCGUGGGGAGCAAACAGGAUUAGAUACCCUUGUAGUC
rnacentral:rRNA from 1 species